rnacentral:rRNA from 1 species
GGAAAGAAGACCCUGUUGAGCUUGACUCUAGUCCGACUUUGUGAAAUGACUUAGGAGGUGUAGCAUAAGUGGGAGCGUUGCAAUCUUGAAAUACCACUACUCUUACUGUCAUUUUACUUAUUCUGUGCGUCUGAACCUUGUGUCGCAACAAGUUUUAGUUUUAAGGUCAUCUUCUUUGAUGAUUGAUGUGUGUGGAAGACAUAGUCAGGUGGGGAGUUUGGCU